UACAGAGGGUGCGAGCGUUGUCCGGAAUCACUGGGCGUAAAGGGCGCGUAGGUGGCGACCCAAGUCGAUGGUGAAAGCUCGCCGCUCAACGGCGAGUCGGCCACCGAUACUGGGUUGCUGGAGCACUGUAGAGGCAGAUGGAAUUCCGGGUGUAGCGGUGGAAUGCGUAGAGAGUCCGGAAGAACACCGGUGGCGAAGGCGGUCUGCUGGGCAGUUGCUGACACUGAGGCGCGGACAGCGUGGGGAGCAAACAGG
rnacentral:rRNA from 1 species